rnacentral:rRNA from 1 species
CCGGCUAACUACCGUGCCAGCAGCCGCGGUAAUACGGAGGGUGCGAGCGUUAAUCGGAAUUACUGGGCGUAAAGACGCAUGCAGGCGGCCUGUUAAGUCAGAUGUGAAAGCCCGGGGCUUAACCUCGGAAUUGCAUUUGAAACUGGCAGGCUAGAGUCUUGUAGAGGGGGGUAGGAAGUUUCAGGUGUAGCGGUGAAAUAGCGUAGAGAUCUGAAGGAAUACCAGUGGCGAAGGCGGCCCCCUCGGACAAAGACUGACGCUCAGAUGCGAAAGCGUGGGGAGCAAACAGGAUUAGAUACCCUGGUAG